rnacentral:lncRNA from 1 species
ACAAUGGGGGCCCAAGGUGAGAUGAAGCUGUAAUCCCACUGGAAGGACUAGAGGUUAGAGGAGACCCCCCCGAAAUAAAAAACAGCAUAUUGACGCUGGGAAAGACCAGAGAUCCUGCUGUCUCCUCAGCAU